rnacentral:rRNA from 1 species
GACGAACGCUGGCGGCGUGCCUAAUACAUGCAAGUUGAGCGCUGAAGGUUGGUACUUGUUCCAACUGGAUGAGCAGCGAACGGGUGAGUAACGCGUGGGGAAUCUGCCUUUGAGCGGGGGACAACAUUUGGAAACGAAUGCUAAUACCGCAUAAAAACUUUAAACACAAGUUUUAAGUUUGAAAGAUGCAAUUGCAUCACUCAAAGAUGAUCCCGCGUUGUAUUAGCUAGUUGGUGAGGUAAAGGCUCACCAAGGCGAUGAUACAUAGCCGACCUGAGAGGGUGAUCGGCCACAUUGGGACUGAGACACGGCCCAAACUCCUACGGGAGGCAGCAGUAGGGAAUCUUCGGCAAUGGACGAAAGUCUGACCGAGCAACGCCGCGUGAGUGAAGAAGGUUUUCGGAUCGUAAAACUCUGUUGGUAGAGAAGAGCGUUGGUGAGAGUGGAAAGCUCAUCAAGUGACGGUAACUACCCAGAAAGGGACGGCUAACUACGUG